CAGCGGUAUUAUUUCGCACGGAGGCUCGCGAAAUUUUGACAGGUUGCAAUGAAAAAAUAUAAGAAAACACAAGAUUGGCAAUUUUUUUCAUCGCAACCUGUCAAAAUUUCGUGGUUUAGAAAUUCAAUAUUUCGAAUUUGAAUGCACACCCAAACAAAGCAAAUCAGCUCAACUAAUCUUGUCUCAACAUCCUGGAUCUGGCAAUCAGCCAACCAACAUUAAAUCGAUACAACCGCAGCAGUACCAACUACUCCAAAUCCAGCAACAGCCCCUCAAAAAAGGACCACAUAGCAAUUACUGCUCAAACGAACAACAGGAGUUUACGAAUGAUGGACACAUCGGAAAACAUUUCAUCGGCACAUUCUGCCUUAAAACAUGUCUGCCACUAUUUUUGAAAAUAUCACUGCCUACACAGUGCUCGUGAUUCCAUUCCAGCAGCAGCAAGCAAUCACUAUUCGAGUGCUUAUCGCCAACAUUUCACAGCAAGCUCAGCAGCAGAACCACCUUCAACCACAACAUCAGAAAAUUAAGAUUUCUUCCAGACCAUGACCAUCAUCCUAAAGGUCGGUAGCAAUAACGUUCAACCGACGGUACAACCUGGUCAGCAACCGCAAUUAGUGCAAUAGAUCCAACCCAAAUGUAGAUUUACCAACUGCAAAAAAGAUAGCAACAGCACAUUCAAACACAGUAGCAGCAGCAUACUAUACUGUACCAUGCGGUGUGCAGGACUUUUUUAUUCAGUUGGUGCGGCAAGAUCGAACACCAACAACAUAAUAUCAUGGUAAUCACCCAGCAAGAGAACGCAGUGAUAAUGGGCCAACAGAAAACACAACAUCAAGAUGCAGGGAAGUGAGCAGGCAAAAGAAGGCAUCGUUUUUUCCGCAAGGUCGCUCUGGUCAAAAUUUCAGCGAAUUGCAAGGAAUAAACCACCCGAGGGACAGUACCCGUGCUGAUUCAGGACGAUUUCCCAUACUUUGUACCUUGCUAUUGAAUUUUAAUACCCGAUCGAAACGAUGGCAAGCGCUGCCGAUAACUGGGUCAAAAAGACGACGGAUCAAGAAAUUUCUGCACUCGGUUAGCGAACUGAGUACAUAUCAUCAAGGAUAAGGAUUCAGAGCCGGCGGCUGGCAGUCCAGAGAAAGAGAAUGCGGAAAAACCUAGUCCACCGGCAGUAGAACCAAAGCUGCACCUGAUGUUUGGAGUUCGGUAGCUACAGAAAUUCUGACUCUAGCAGCUCCUGAAGAAAAACAAGCUGCAAGAGAAAAUGGAGAAACACCUUCCUCCGCGGAAGAUGCAGAGGCAUUCAAGUAAGUCGAAAUCUGCAGAAAAUUUUGAUUAGGACAUAAGGAACAUUGACAGCCUCUCUUUGUUUACUUUCUCUUUCGAUUAUGACGUCACUAUAACACUUUGCACUAAUUUUCCAGUACAUAGCCGAUGGUUUUUACUAAAAUAUUAGGCAAAGAGUUGAGUACUAAAUAUUGAAACGACCGAGUAACAAACAGAAGAGAAAGACCCCAAAGAGAAUCUCAUUGUUGCUUACGUCCUAUUCUAAAUUUUCUCCCGAAAUAUUUAGUAUCAGCUUUAAAAUUAUC